rnacentral:tRNA from 1 species
UCGGUAGACGCUACGGACUUAAAAUCCGUCGAUUUAAAAAAUCGUGAGGGUUCAAGUCCCUCUAUCCCCA